GUUUUCCUACGGGGGGCAGCAGUGGGGAAUUUUGGACAAUGGGCGAAAGCCUGAUCCAGCUAUGCCGCGUGAGUGAAGAAGGCCUUCGGGUUGUAAAGCUCUUUCGGUUGGGAAGAAGUUUAUCUGUUUAAGAGAUGGAUAGAUUGACGGUACCGACAGAAGAAGCACCGGCUAACUACGUGCCAGCAGCCGCGGUAAUACGUAGGGUGCGAGCGUUAUCCGGAUUUAUUGGGUUUAAAGGGUGCGUAGGCGGUCCGUUAAGUCAGCGGUAAAAUUGCGGGGCUCAACCCCGUCGAGCCGUUGAA
rnacentral:rRNA from 1 species